GGCCAGACUCCUACGGGAGGCAGCAGUGAGGAAUAUUGGUCAAUGGCCGGAAGGCUGAACCAGCCAAGCCGCGUGAAGGACGAAGGUGCCAAGCAUUGUAAACUUCUUUUGUCAAGGGACAAAAUCAGGCUCGAGAGCCUGACCGAGGGUACUUGAAGAAAAAGCAUCGGCUAACUCCGUGCCAGCAGCCGCGGUAAUACGGAGGAUGCGAGCGUUAUCCGGAUUUAUUGGGUUUAAAGGGUGCGUAGGCGGCCUGUUAAGUCAGGGGUAAAAGCCCGGGGCUCACCCCCGGCGAGCCGUUGAAACUGGCUGGCUGGAGUUGGAGAGAAGUACGCGGAAUGCGCGGUGUAGCGGUGAAAUGCUUAGAUAUCGCGCAGAACCCCGAUUGCGAAGGCAGCGUACCGGCUCCACACUGACGCUGAGGCACGAAAGCGUGGGUAUCGAACAGGAUUAGAUACCCGAGUAGG
rnacentral:rRNA from 1 species